GCUAUAUGAUUAAUUAUUAAAUCAUUCAUUACUUAUCACCUGCUUUAUCAAUCAUUGGAAUAUGAAUACCUUUUUCUUUAGCUGUUUGAAUAGCGAUGUCAUAGCCAGCAUCAACAUGUCGGGCAACACCCAUACCUGGGUC
rnacentral:sRNA from 1 species